GACGAACGCUGGCGGCGUGCUUAACACAUGCAAGUCGAACGGUGAAGCGCCUUCUUUUUUGGUGGGUGUGGAUGAGUGGCGAACGGGUGAGUAACACGUGAGUAACCUGCCCCCUUCUUCUGGAUAACCGCAUGAAAGUGUGGCUAAUACGGGAUAUUCUGGGUCUGUCGCAUGAUGGGUCCGGGAAAGAUAUUGUUUCGGUGGGGGAUGGGCUCGCGGCCUAUCAGCUUGUUGGUGGGGUGAUGGCCUACCAAGGCGGUGACGGGUAGCCGGCCUGAGAGGGUGGACGGUCACACUGGGACUGAGACACGGCCCAGACUCCUACGGGAGGCAGCAGUGGGGAAUAUUGCACAAUGGGCGCAAGCCUGAUGCAGCGACGCCGCGUGAGGGAUGGAGGCCUUCGGGUUGUGAACCUCUUUCGCCAGUGAAGCAGGCCUGCCUGGUUUGUGGGUGGGUUGACGGUAGCUGGAGAAGAAGCGCCGGCUAACUACGUG
rnacentral:rRNA from 1 species